rnacentral:rRNA from 1 species
UACGGAGGGUGCAAGCGUUAAUCGGAAUUACUGGGCGUAAAGCGCGCGUAGGCGGUUGAUUAAGUCAGAUGUGAAAGCCCCGGGCUCAACCUGGGAAUUGCAUCUGAUACUGGUCAACUAGAGUCUGAAAGAGGGAAGUGGAAUUUCCGGUGUAGCGGUGAAAUGCAUAGAGAUCGGAAGGAACAUCAGUGGCGAAGGCGACUUCCUGGUUCAAGACUGACGCUGAGGUGCGAAAGCGUGGGUAGCAAACAGG